AAGCUUAGUUUCAUAUAAAUGCAUGGAUAAUUUGUUGUUUUGUCAUUAGUGAAAAACAAUAUUGACCUUAGUAGUUAAAAAAGGAGCAUCAUAUAAAAAUGACAUUUCCUCCUAUGGAGUCCGUUCAUUCACAUUCGGAGAUCGCCUAUCUUUGACUGGGAAAAUGGCGUAAACAACAACUGCUAACGUGAGUUCAAAACCUUUCUUUUUAGUAAACUCUGUGUAGGCCACACAAACAAUGUUAUCAAUACCUGCGUUCAUGUGUAGAGCCCCUGGGGAUACUUCAAGCAAAGUUUCAUGUCAUGUUGAGCCUUCUUAGUGUUUUAAAAAUAGACUCCCAUUCAAAAGGUAAUUUGACCGAAAAACAAGAAUAGGGUAAAUGUUAAAAGUGACACUUCCGUCCUAAAUAUGCUUUUAAACGAAAGUUUGACUCGG